GCUGAAGUAGCUCAGUUGGGAGAGCGUUAGACUGAAGAUCUGGAGGUCACUGGUUCAAUCUUAGGCUUUAGCA